GAGGGAUGGGAGCGACUGAGAGAUAUGAGGGUGUUCAGCCUCCGCAAGCAGCCCUCACCUGUAUGACAGGAACCAGGAGUUGGGAGGCGAGGAAGAGGGAUGGGAGCGACUGGGAGAUAUGAGGGUGUUCAGCCUCCGCAAGCAGUCCCCACCUGUAUGACACAGGAACCAGGAGGUGGGAGGCGAGGAAGAGGGAUGGGAGCGACUGGGAGAUAUGAGGGUGUUCAGCCUCCGCAAGCAGUCCCCACCUGUAUGACACAGGAACCAGGAGGUGGGAGGCGAGGAAGAGGGAUGGGAGCGACUGGGAGAUAUGAGGGUGUUCAGCCUCCACACUCAGCACCUGUAACACUGGAGGAGACAUUGGUUGCAAUAGUGUAAGGAUAAGGUUAAAACAGUGAUUCUCAACUGUACCCCAAUCCCAUGUUGCUCUGUUUGUAGUACCCCAGAAAUACCCCCUCAGUAGGCUUGUGUUCUAAUGGGUUUUGCCAAGUACCCCCUAUGGAAAGGCCAAGUACCCCCUAUGGAAAGGCUAAGUUCCCCCUAUGGAAAGGUUAAGUACCCCCUAUGGAAAGGCUAAGUACCCCUGAUGGAAAGGCUAAGUUCCCCCUAUGGAAAGGCUAAGUACCCCCUAUGGAAAGGCUAAGUACCCCUGAUAGAAAGGCUAAGUACCCCCUAUGAAAAGGCUAAGUACCCCCUAUGAAAAGGCUAAGUACCCCCUAUGGAAAGGCUAAGUUCCCCCUAUGGAAAGGUUAAGUACCCCCUAUGGAAAGGCUAAGUACCCCUGAUGGAAAGGCUAAGUACCCCGAGGGAAAGGCUAAGUACCCCCGAUGGAAUGGCUAAGUACCCCUGAUGGAAAGGUUAAGUACCCCGAUGGAAAGGCUAAGUACCCCUGAUGGAAAGGCUAAGUACCCCUGAUGGAAAGGCUAAGUACCCCGAUGGAAAGGCUAAGUACCCCUGAUGGAAAGGCUAAGUACCCCGAUGGAAAGGCUAAGUACCCCCGAUGAAAAGGCUAAGUACCCCUGAUGGAAAGGCUAAGUACCCCUGAUGGAAAGGCUAAGUACCCCUGAUGAAAAGGCUAAGUACCCCUGAUGGAAAGGCUAAGUACCCCCGAUGAAAAGGCUAAGUACCCCUGAUGAAAAGGCUAAGUACCCCUGAUGGAAAGGCUAAGUACCCCUGAUGGAAAGGUUAAGUACCCCGAUGGAAAGGCUAAGUACCCCUGAUGGAAAGGCUAAGUACCCCUGAUGGAAAGGCUAAGUACCCCGAUGGAAAGGCUAAGUACCCCUGAUGGAAAGGCUAAGUACCCCGAUGGAAAGGCUAAGUACCCCCGAUGGAAAGGCUAAGUACCCCGAUGGAAAGGCUAAGUACCCCCGAUGAAAAGGCUAAGUACCCCUGAUGGAAAGGCUAAGUACCCCGAUGGAAAGGCUAAGUACCCCCGAUGGAAAGGCCGAGUACCCCAAUUAGAAAGGCAGAGUACCCCCUAUGGAAAGGCAGAGUACCCCAUAUGGAAAGGCUAAGUAUUCCCUAUGGAAAGGCCAUGUACCCCUGAUGGAAAGGCUAAGUUCCCCCUAUGGAAAGGCUAAGUACCCCCUAUGGAAUGUCUAUGUACCCCCUAUGGAAAGGCUAAGUACCCCCUAUGGAAUGUCUAUGUACUCCCUAUGGAAAGGCUAAGUACCCCCUAUGGAAUGUCUAUGUACCCCCACGGGUACAAGUAUGAGUAGGACAGUUAUGUUGGCCAUAGAUUACCGUGGCCUACAUCCUGACCGUUUAUACAUUGUUUAUUACAAUUUUUAUAAAUGAUUUCACUCAUACUUCAUGAUAUAGUUCCAACUCCAAUCUCAGUUGAUGGGUUUUUAUUUCUCUCUGUCCCUCUCUCUUUCUCUCUGUCUCGCUGUCUCUCUCUCUCGCCGUCUCUCUCUCUCGCUGUCUCGCUGUCUCUUUCUCUCUCUGUCUCUCUCUUUCUCUCUCUCUUUCUCUCUCUGUCUUUCUCUAUCUUUCUCUCUCUGUCUCUCUCUCUCUCUGUCUCUCUCUUUCUCACUCGCUGUCUCUCUCUUUCUCACUCUCUUUCUCUCUCUCUUUCUCUCUCUGUCUCUCUUUCUCUCUCUCUCUCUCUCUGUGUGUCUCUCUCUCUCUGUGUGUGUGUGGAGGAGGGAGACUACUCAUACAUGGAGAGACUGUGGAUCCCUCUGACUCAUGGCAUUCUGCUGAUGAUGGAAAGAGCCACACAGGAUGACAGGCAGGCUUCGUCCUCGUGGGAGACGUUGACUUAUCAGACAACGAAGAACAUGAUGUCUGUCUCUGUGGUUCUGGACUAAGAAGAUAAUGUCUGUCUCUGUGGUUCUGGAAGAAGAACGUAAUGUCUGUCUCUGUGGUUCUGGAACAAGAACGUAAUGUCUGUCUCUGUGGUUCUGGAACAAGAACGUAAUGUCUGUCUCUGUGGUUCUGGAACAAGAACAUAAUGUCUGUCUCUGUGGUUCUGGAAUAAGAACGUAAUGUCUGUCUCUGUGGUUCUGGAACAAGAAUGUAAUGUCUGUCUCUGUGGUUCUGGAACAAGAACCUAAUGUCUGUCUCUGUGGUUCUGGAACAAGAACAUAACGUCUGUCUCUGUGGUUCUGGAACAAGAACGUAACGUCUGUCUCUGUGGUUCUGGAACAAGAACGUAACGUCUGUCUCUGUGGUUCUGGAACAAGAACGUAAUGUCUGUCUCUGUGGUUCUGGAACAAGAACGUAAUGUCUGUCUCUGUGGUUCUGGAACAAGAACGUAAUGUCUGUCUCUGUGGUUCUGGACUUUUCUAUCAGAAAAUAAUUUAUUAGGAGAGUGAGAGGGAGUGGAUGUUCAUGGAGGAGGAGAUGGUGUAGUGAUUAUGGUCACACACACACACACACACAGAGAGAGAACAGGAGAUUGUGUUCCUUGGGGAAAGACAGAACAUUCUGAGACUAAAGGAAUACAUCUGUGCAAGAGACUUAUGAGUGGAAAAUUGCAGUAUGAUUUUACAACUGUCACGCUGUACGUGUGUGUGUGUGUGUGUGUGUGUGUGUGUGUGUGUGUGUGUGUGUGUGUGUGUGUGUGUGUGUGUGUGUGUGUGUGUGUGUGUGUGUGUGUGUGUGUGUGGGUCAGUAAGCUAGUACAGUGCCUUCAGAAAGUAUUCACACUCCUUUACUUUUUCCACAUUCUUUUGUGUUACAGCCUGAAUCUAAAAUGGAUUAAAUGGAGAUGUGUUACUGAUCUACUACACACAAUACCCCAUAAUGUCAAAGUGGAAUUUUGUUGUAAGAAUGUUUUACAAAUUAAUAAAUAAUGAAAAG